ensembl:lncRNA
AUGUGCUAUGUACCAGCUGGGGUACACUCACUCAUCUCUUAUCCUCUCCUCUUUCCUGGCUCCAGUCCUCACAGCUCCCUGGCUAAUGAGCCAAGCAGUGAUGGAGUCAGGCCCACAGUGGGGAUUCAACCAUACAAGAAGAGUGAUGUUGUGCUGCAGACCUCUUGCCUGGGUGGCCUCAACCUUGUCCAGUGUUUAUGGAGUACUUCCUUCCUGGCAGGUCACCAGCAUUUACCUCCACCUCAUAAAAGAGCAGAGGGCUUGUUUCUGACUCCUCUCAGAGUGAGCUGCAACUCACUGGCUGUGCAAGCCCAGGUGAGUGACUUAGCUUGUCUAGGCCCUAGUUUCUUUACCAGCAAGGAGUGAAAACACAGCUGAUUCUUGUUAUUCGGGGUAGUCAUGUUCUGUAAAGUAGCUUGGAACACUGAAAUAGCAUGUGUGUGUGUGUGUGUGUGUGUGCGCGUGCGCGCUCAAUCACUUAGCUGUAUCUGACUCUUUGCAACCCUAUGGACUAUAGACUGCCGGGCUCCUCUGUCCAUGAGAUUUUCCAGGCAAAAAUACUGGAGCAGGUUGCCAUUCCCUUCUCCAGGGGAUCUUCCUGCCCCAGGGAUUGAACCUGCAUCUCCUGCAUUGGGAGAUGGAUUCUUUACCACUGAGUCACCUGGGAAGCCUUUUGUGAACCUCUGAUCACAUUUUUUUCAGUUGAUCAAACUUAACCUUGUUUUAUGUGUAUUUCUGCUCAGAUACAUUGCUUGAUAUAUAUUGUUCAUUCAAAAUUGACGCAACUGCUCUAACACACCUGUUUUCUCUGUAAUGCACAUCACAACUUUCUUGCAGUUAGAGAGCACUUCAGCACGAUGUUUGGGGCCAUUUGAAAGAGCUAAAUCACUCACAAAAAGCACAAAAUUGUGAAGAGCCCUGCACUAGAUGGAUCACGGAAAGGACAUGUUAACAGUGUGAGCUGAAACAGGAGGGUGGAGCAUCGGUCGGCUUGCUGGACUUCAGCUGGGAAUUUGCACGUGGGGCCACUCUUCGAAUGUCCACCAGUGACCCGGAAGGCAUGGUAAGCAUUGAUGGGGGUUAUAUAUUUCUUUUUCCCCCUCUUUUAUUUGUAAAUAUUUAUUUUUUAAUUGAGGGAUAAUUGCUUAUAGAAUUUUGUUUUUUUUUCUGUCAAACCUCAACAUGAAUCAGCCAUAGGUAUACAUAUAUUGCCUCCCUUUUGAACCUCCCUCGCAUCUCCCUCCCCAUCCCACCCCUCUAGGUUGAUACAGAGCCCUUGUUUGGGUUUCUGGAGACAUACAGCAAAUUCCUGUUGGCUAUCUAUUUUACAUAUGGGAAUGUAAGUUUCCACGUUAGCCUCUCCACACAUCUCACCCUCUCCUCCUCUCUCCCUGUGUCUAUUCUCUGUGUCUGUUUCUCCACUGCUGCUGCUGCUAAGUCACUUCAGUCGUGUCCGACUCUGUGCGACCCCAUAGAUGGCAGCCCACCAGGCUCUGCCAUCCCUGGGAUUCUCCAGGCAAGAACACUGGAGUGGGUCCUGCAAAUAAAUUCUUCAGUACCAUGUAUGUGCACUAGUAUACGAUAUUUAUCUUUCUCUUUCUGACUCACUUCAGUCUGUAUAAUAGGCUCUAGGUUCAUCCACCUCAUUAGAAUUGACUCAUACAUGUUCCUUUCUUAUGGCUGCGUAAUAUUCCAUUGUGUAUAUGUACCACAGCUUCUUUAUCCAUUCAUCUGUUGAUGGAGAUCUAGGUUGCUUCCAUGUUCUAGCUAUUGUAAAUAGUGCUGCAAUGAAUAAUGGGAUACAUUUGUCUUUUCAAUUUUGGUUUCCUCAGCAUAUAUGCCUAGGAGUGUGGUUGCUGGGUCAUAUGGUGCUUUUAUUCCUAGUUUUUUAAGGAAUCUCCAUACUGUUUUCCGUUGUAGCUGUAUCAAUUUACAUUCCCACCAACAGUGCGGGAGCGGUCCCUUUUCUCCACACUACAAAGUACAUUUCAUUGAGCAGGAG